GAUGAACGCUGGCGGCGUGCUUAACACAUGCAAGUCGAACGAUCGCAAGAUAGUGGCGCACGGGUGAGGAACACGUAGCUAACCUGCCUUUGGGUCUGGGAUAACGUCGCGAAAGUGACGCUAAGACCGGAUAAGCUCCCGGGUUGUAGAGACCAGAGAGAAAAGGGGCAAGACGCCUGAAGAGGGGGCUGCGGCGCAUCAGCUAGUUGGUGGGGUAAAGGCCUACCAAGGCAACGACGCGUAAGGGGUCUGAGAGGAUGAUCCCUCACACUGGGACUGAGACACGGCCCAGACUCCUACGGGAGGCAGCAGUGAGGAAUAUUGCACAAUGGGGGGAACCCUGAUGCAGCGACGCCGCGUGGGUGAUGACGGCCU
rnacentral:rRNA from 1 species